AAUGAACGCUGGCGGCAUGCCUAACACAUGCAAGUCGAACGGCAGCACAGUAAGCGCUUGCUCUUACGGGUGGCGGGUGGCGGACGGGUGAGGAAUGGAUCGGAAACUACUUUUUCGGGGGGGAUAACGGAGGGAAACUUCUGCUAAUACCGCAUAUAACCUACGGGUGAAAGCAGGGGUUCUUCGGACCUUUCGUGUCUGUAUGAGACGAUGUCGCGUCAGAUUAUUUGGUUGGUAAGGUAACGGCCUACCAAGGCAGCGACGCGUAGCCGACCGGAGAGGGUGGUCGGCCACACUGGAACUGAGGCUCGGCCCAGACUCCUACGGGAGGCAGCAGUAGGGAAUCUUCCGCAAUGGGCGAGAGCCUGACGGAGCAACGCCGCGUGGGUGAUGAAGGCCUUCGGCUCGUAAAGCUCUGUUGUUGGGAAAGAAGAAAUGUGUAAGUAACUGUGCAUGUCUUGACGGUACCUAAAGAGAAAGCCCCGGCUAACUACGUG
rnacentral:rRNA from 1 species